rnacentral:rRNA from 1 species
GAUGAACGCUGGCGGCGUGCCUAAUACAUGCAAGUCGAGCGAACAGACGAGGAGCUUGCUCCUUUGACGUUAGCGGCGGACGGGUGAGUAACACGUAGGUAACCUACCUAUAAGACUGGGAUAACUUCGGGAAACCGGAGCUAAUACCGGAUAAUAUUUCGAACCGCAUGGUUCGAUAGUGAAAGAUGGCUUUGCUAUCACUUAUAGAUGGACCUGCGCCGUAUUAGCUAGUUGGUAAGGUAGCGGCUUACCAAGGCAACGAUACGUAGCCGACCUGAGAGGGUGAUCGGCCAGACUGGAAGUGAGACAGGGUCCAGACACCUACGGGAGGCAGCAGUAGGGAAUCUUCCGCAAGGGGCGAAAGCCUGACGGAGCAACGCGGCGUGAGUGAUGAAGGUCUUCGGAUCGUAAAACUCUGUUAUUAGGGAAGAACAAACGUGUAAGUAACUGUGCACGUCUUGACGGUACCUAAUCAGAAAGCCACGGCUAACUACGUG